AUCCAGCUGACGAGUCUCACAUAGGACAAAACGCACGUGCUGGAU
rnacentral:hammerhead_ribozyme from 1 species